rnacentral:rRNA from 1 species
GACGAACGCUGGCGGCGUGCUUAACACAUGCAAGUCGAACGGAAAGGCCUGCAGCUUGCUGCGGGUACUCGAGUGGCGAACGGGUGAGUAACACGUGGGUGAUCUGCCUUGCACUUCGGGAUAAGCUUGGGAAACUGGGUCUAAUACCGGAUAGGACAGCUGUUUAGUGUCAGUUGUGGAAAGUUUUUUCGGUGCAAGAUGAGCUCGCGGCCUAUCAGCUUGUUGGUGGGGUAAUGGCCUACCAAGGCGUCGACGGGUAGCCGGCCUGAGAGGGUGUACGGCCACAUUGGGACUGAGAUACGGCCCAGACUCCUACGGGAGGCAGCAGCGGGGAAUAUUGCACAAUGGGCGGAAGCCUGAUGCAGCGACGCCGCGUGGGGGAUGAAGGCCUUCGGGUUGUAAACUCCUUUCGACAGGGACGAAGCGUAAGUGACGGUACCUGUAUAAGAAGCACCGGCUAACUACGUGCCAGCAGCCGCGGUAAUACGUAGGGUGCGAGCGUUGUCCGGAAUUACUGGGCGUAAAGAGCUCGUAGGUGGUUUGUCGCGUCGUCUGUGAAAUUCCGGGGCUUAACUCCGGGCGUGCAGGCGAUACGGGCUGACUUGAGUGCUGUAGGGGAGACUGGAACUCCUGGUGUAGCGGUGAAAUGCGCAGAUAUCAGGAGGAACACCGAUGGCGAAGGCAGGUCUCUGGGCAGUAACUGACGCUGAGGAGCGAAAGCAUGGGUAGCGAACAGGAUUAGAUACCCUGGUAGUCCAUGCCGUAAACGGUGGGCGCUAGGUGUAGGGGGCUUCCACGUCUUCUGUGCCGUAGCUAACGCAUUUAGCGCCCCGCCUGGGGAGUACGGCCGCAAGGCUA